CGGGGCAUAGUAUACCGGUAGUACGCACGCUUCGGGUGCGUGAAGAUUGGGUUCAAUUCCCAAUGCCCCGA
rnacentral:tRNA from 1 species